CAAGUCGAGCGGGGGAAGGUAGCUUGCUACUGGACCUAGCGGCGGACGGGUGAGUAAUGCUUAGGAAUCUGCCUAUUAGUGGGGGACAACAUCUCGAAAGGGAUGCUAAUACCGCAUACGUCCUACGGGAGAAAGCAGGGGAUCUUCGGACCUUGCGCUAAUAGAUGAGCCUAAGUCGGAUUACCUAGUUGGUGGGGUAAAGGCCUACCAAGGCGACGAUCUGUAGCGGGUCUGAGAGGAUGAUCCGCCACACUGGGACUGAGACACGGCCCAGACUCCUACGGGAGGCAGCAGUGGGGAAUAUUGGACAAUGGGGGGAACCCUGAUCCAGCCAUGCCGCGUGUGUGAAGAAGGCCUUAUGGUUGUAAAGCACUUUAAGCGAGGAGGAGGCUACUCUAGUUAAUACCUAGAGAUAGUGGACGUUACUCGCAGAAUAAGCACCGGCUAACUCUGUGCCAGCACCCGCGGUAAUACAGAGGGUGCGAGCGUUAAUCGGAUUUACUGGGCGUAAAGCGUGCGUAGGCGGCUUAUUAAGUCGGAUGUGAAAUCCCCAAGCUUAACUUGGGAAUUGCAUUCGAUACUGGUGAGCUAGAGUAUGGGAGAGGAUGGUAGAAUUCCAGGUGUAGCGGUGAAAUGCGUAGAGAUCUGGAGGAAUACCGAUGGCGAAGGCAGCCAUCUGGCCUAAUACUGACGCUGAGGUACGAAAGCAUGGGGAGCAAACAGGAUUAGAUACCCUGGUAGUCCAUGCCGUAAACGAUGUCUACUAGCCGUUGGGGCCUUUGAGGCUUUAGUGGCGCACCUAACGCGAUAAGUAGACCGCCUGGGGAGUACGGUCGCAAGACUAAAACUCAAAUGAUUGA
rnacentral:rRNA from 1 species